GCGGCGUGCUUACCAUGCAGUCGAACGAUAAACCGGUGCUUGUUCGGGGAGAGGGGAGAAGGGGUGAGAAGCGUGAGUAACCUGCCCUUGACUCUGGGAGAAGCCUGGGAAAGGGGGUCUAAUACCAGAUAUUACUUCGGGGCACAUGUCGNGUGGUGGAAAUCUUUUGUGGUUUUAGAUGGACUCGCGGCAUAGCAUCUUGUUGGUGGGGUAAUGGCCCACCAACGAGACCACGGGUACCCGGCGUGAGAGGGUGACGCCACACAAUGGGAUUGAG
rnacentral:rRNA from 1 species